UAGGCUAGCAUCAUUUGUUAGGCUCCCCACAUCUAAAACUAAGUACAAGCUUUUAGACUUCCCCACGUUGUUUGACAAUAGCAGCUUCACCACUGUAAAAAUCAGCUGAGUUUUGCUGUUCUCGAACUUGCAUAAUGCCAUGUACAUAGGUAAGUCAAAUUGAUCAACCAAUCCAGCAUGGGCUCUGUGAUUUUUUUUUUGUAGUUAGAACUGUGUUUUGGCUACAUUUUAGUAGUGGUUUGUUGGGGAUAGAAAGGGAGGUAGGGGAUAUCAGGUUUUUUUUGUUGCUGUCUGAAAUUGUUUGCACUUAUAAACUGUGUUUUUUUACCAGAGGUAUCCAACCUUGCUGAUAUUUUAGUCCUAAUGCUAACUGCACAUGCUAUUUGUUUCAGUCACACAAACCAUUGUUUAGGAUCUUAAAUGUUGGGAUGACUCCAGGGACUGACCCUUCCUUGACAACAGCUUCCGCUGCUCCGAGAACGGCCGCCGCGACGCGUCCUACACCAAAUGGCGCCGACGCGCUGCGAUUUCCUGAGCCACACAAAAUGGUGUUUAGGAGCUAAAACUUGAUGUGCCUUUUUUCGGCCUGCAAGUUUUCUCGGCGAAUUGGCACUAUAACAUGCUCUUCAGCUAGCUUGGUGUUUAGUGGCCUGGAAGUUCAUCAGAUUAUCGUCAUCGGCGGCAGUUUAGUUGCAGCUCAAUCUCGAUGUUGAUUCAUGAGCAGUUUGGUAGUAGUUGUAGUAGGCUAGUAACUCUAAUUUUUUGUUCCGUACAACAGUGGAGGCAAUAUGCUUGUAGUUUUGAAAUUUUGUUAACGUUUAAAAUUUAGAUGGGUGAAAAUGCAUGUGUAUAUGUUCUAAAUUGCUUACUGAUUUUCAAAGAUGUGCUUAUGGGAUGUAAACAAUUUCUUUUU